AGAGAGUUGAACUUUGGCAGCUUCAAUCCCAGCUGUACCUAAAUUCUGCUUUCCUAAUGUCUCUUGGGCUUUCUCCAGAACCGCCUGCAGGGAUGGGGGUCCAGAAUAUUUUGUAUGAUACCUCGAGUUGCUCAUGGAGCCUUCUCUGGACCUCUAUUUGUAUUUGCAGCGCUUCACUUAUGGAUAUUGGAUUGUAAUAUUUCCUGGGCGGCUGCAACAACUACUACUAAUUAUUCGGGAAUGUUCAAAUAUUUGAAGUGUCUGGUCCAUAUGGAGAAAUUACCAAGAGGCAUAUUUCGCAUGUUGUGUACAAAGAGUCGGUGGUUUACCUGAAGAUGACUCUUGAGGUGAUACAAGGUAAGGCCUGGAAUGCCCAUGACUUUCAUGAUUGCCUUAGGAGUAGCCUCUGCAAUAGACAAAAGGGAAAAACAAUAUGCAUUAAAUCUAACAAGCUUCUUGUUAAAUAUGUCCUUUUUUCCCCUUUUUUGCUAAUAAGAUAACUUACUAUCUGC